GACGAACGCUGGCGGCGUGCUUAACACAUGCAAGUCGAGCGGAAAGGCCACUUCGGUGGUACUCGAGCGGCGCACGGGUGCGUAACACGUGAGUAAUCUGCCCCUGGCUUUGGGAUAGCCACCGGAAACGGUGAUUAAUACCGGAUAUGACACAUUCUCGCAUGAGUUUGUGUGGAAAGUUUUUCGGCCAGGGAUGUGCUCGCGGCCUAUCAGCUUGAUGGUGAGGUAAUGGCUCACCAUGGCUUCGACGGGUAGCCGGCCUGAGAGGGUGACCGGUCACACUGGGACUGAGACACGGCCCAGACUCCUACGGGAGGCAGCAGUGGGGAAUAUUGGACAAUGGGCGGAAGCCUGAUCCAGCAACGCCGCGUGAGGGAUGACGGCCUUCGGGUUGUAAACCUCUUUCAGUACCGACGAAGCGCAAGUGACGGUAGGUACAGAAGAAGCACCGGCCAACUACGUG
rnacentral:rRNA from 1 species